CCCAGACUCCUACGGGAGGCAGCAGUGGGGAAUAUUGCACAAUGGGGGGAACCCUGAUGCAGCGACGCCGCGUGGGUGAAGGAGUACUUCGGUACGUAAAGCCCUAUCAGCAGGAAAGAAAAUGACGGUACCUGACUAAGAAGCCCCGGCUAACUACGUGCCAGCAGCCGCGGUAAUACGUAGGGGGCAAGCGUUAUCCGGAUUUACUGGGUGUAAAGGGAGCGUAGACGGCAGUGCAAGUCCGGAGUGAAAGCCCGGGGCUCAACCCUGGGACUGCUCUGGAAACUGUAAAGCUGGAGUGCGGGAGGAGCAGGCGGAAUUCCUGGUGUAGCGGUGAAAUGCGUAGAUAUCAGGAGGAACACCGGCGGCGAAGGCGGCCUGCUGGACCGUAACUGACGUUGAGGCUCGAAAGCGUGGGGAGCAAACAGGAUUAGAUACCCGGGUA
rnacentral:rRNA from 1 species